CCCUUACUUAGGGGCAGUUUAAAAUCAAUGAACUCUAACUCUUCCUGCCAGGCGCAGCAGACACCAUUAGACACCUGUACGUGCCUCAACCUCCCCUGCCUUCCGCCCCUACUGGGACCACAGCCAGAGCAGCUGCACGGUGCACUACGCCCAUGCCAUGCGCUUCUCACCUCCCUGAGGACCUCUCUACUGGCUUUGGCUAAGUUCUCCUAAAGCAGACUUUGAGGUGCAAGGGAAUAUCCAGCGAGGAUUGUAGCCCCCAUGCCCGCUGUGGAGGGGCAGGGGCAGCAGCCAGCCACGUGAUGUGAUUGCAGAACGCUCCUCCUGCUGCAACUCCCCUCAGGAAGACAUCUGGAACCUGCAAGAGGAAAUGACCAUUUGCAGGGUGCCUGUGCGCUGAGUUCUGCGUAGAGUCUCUGCACAGGUUAUGAAAUAACAGGCUCGCUUUUCACCUGAUCACCAGAAGCAUGCACCAGUUGAAGUGGUCGAGAUAAAAUUCCAUCCAGCUGCACCCUGGGGAAACAUACUUUAGCUUUACAUAUUUGAGAAAUAUUCUAGAAUAGAAAUGAAACACGAGAAGAAAUCACCGAGUUGAGGAACUCAGGAAAAGAUAACCAGAUAAAGCAAAGGAUAAAAUUAUUCCUAAGAAAUAGAUACCAUAUUUUUCUGCAUAAUUGCUGAAGUUGAGCCUGAGCCACAAAUCUGCCUGUAAUGGGCAAAGCGGAGAGGGAUACACAUUUGCUUACGAGGCUCACAAAGUGUCAGUUCACUUAAGGGAGUCACAGGUCUUCCUAGCAAUGAAAGCUCAGACAAGUUUCCCUUGUGGGUCCUAAUGAAGGGAAUACUACGCAAAGGAGCGAAUUACUUCCUCAGCAUGCCCUUAAAUACCAGGGAGAAUUCAACAGGACUGCUUCCACAGCAGCAGUAAAUGGCAUUACCUACAAGGCAGCUCACCGAAAGUGGUCCAGAAGGAGUCAAGACAAUGGUCCUAGGGUGCAGCUCUCGAUUCAGGAAUACCUUCUCGAAUUUUUAAAAGAAUAGACUUUUUUGCCCAUUCAGUAAAUAUUUAUUGAGUAUUUUAUGGGUCAGGUACUUCACUGGGCAUGAGAGAGGAAGCAGUGAUAAGACAAAUGGAGUUCCUUCCUUCAGAGAAUAGCAUACUUGUUGGAAAGAUAGACCAACAACCGAAAAACACUGAGAUGUGUGCAAAAUGAGAUAACGUCUAAACGCUGAAUGUUCAGCUCCUCAACGUUCUCACCUCUGGUUGUUUUUUCCUCAGCCUAUUGCAGCUGAGCUAGUCUUAUUGUCACCCACUACUGUGUUACUGCUGUAUCACACCACCUCCAGCUCUGUUUCAUGAAAGCCAGUCUCUAGCCCACACCUCCUCCCGUAGUUCCCACUCACUGACAUCAUUCUUUAACCUCAGUGGUAUCUCCAAACUAUCAACUACAUUCCCAUUACCCAUCAGUCUGUUAGUCCCCUCUUUAUAAUUUCUUUCUGAGUCAUUUAGAUCAUAUGCUCUAUAAUUAUUAUCGCCUCCUUGAAAAUUUCCUCUCCUUAACACCUCUCUCUUCUGUCACACUUGCCUGGAAUAAAGCCAAGCCUGGUGGACUCAUUUAUCCAUGCCCGUAUUAAAUAAUAAUAAUAGUAAUAAUAAUAAUAAUAAUAAUAAUAAUACUCCUGGAGGGAAAACACACACAUGAAACACAGCUGACCAGAUUCACUCCAAAUUCAUGACCAGAAUACCUGAACAAAACACUCAACACUCCUCUUAUGUUUCCUCAGUAAAUUAGCUUUUCCAGUCUUAUGAUUAGUUUAUUCCUUCUACAGUCUCUUUCUCAAAACUUCUUUAACUAUGAAUUAAAUGUAAUUUUUCAAUUGUUCUGAUUAAAAGAUAGACACUGUCGGGUAAGAAUUUGCACUCUUCCUCCCUACCAAAUCUGUAAGUCAGCCUCAUCUAUGCUCAUCUUCUCCAUGUCUCCUGUUUCAGUGGAGGUAGCAGAGUGCCUCCAACUACAGCCCAUCUACCUCUGGAGCUCUGGAACCCUGAUCCCUAGCACCUUCUCAAGGAUUCCCUUGUCCUUGCUGCACUUUCAAUCUCUUGCUUGUUAUUGAAUCAUCCCCAUCAAUGCAUAAACAUG